rnacentral:rRNA from 1 species
GAUGAACGCUGGCGGCGUGCCUAAUACAUGCAAGUCGAGCGAACAGACGAGGAGCUUGCUCCUCUGACGUUAUCGGCGGACGGGUGAGUAACACGUGGAUAACCUACCUAUAAGACUGGGAUAACUUCGGGAAACCGGAGCUAAUACCGGAUAAUAUAUUGAACCGCAUGGUUCAAUAGUGAAAGACGGUUUUGCUUUCACUUAUAGAUGGAUCCGCGCCGCAUUAGCUAGUUGGUAAGGUAACGGCUUACCAAGGCAACGAUGCGUAGCCGACCUGAGAGGGUGAUCGGCCACACUGGAACUGAGACACGGUCCAGACUCCUACGGGAGGCAGCAGUAGGGAAUCUUCCGCAAUGGGCGAAAGCUUGACGGAGCAACGCCGCGUGAGUGAUGAAGGUCUUCGGAUCGUAAAACUCUGUUAUUAGGGAAGAACAAAUGUGUAAGUAACUAUGCACGUCUUGACGGUACCUAAUCAGAAAGCCACGGCUAACUACGUG